rnacentral:rRNA from 1 species
CUCUCCUACGGGGGGCAGCAGUGAGGAAUACUGGUCAAUGGACGAGAGUCUGAACCAGCCAAGUAGCGUGAAGGAUGACUGCCCUAUGGGUUGUAAACUUCUUUUAUAUGGGAAUAAAAUGUUCCACGCGUGGGAUUUUGUAUGUACCAUAUGAAUAAGGAUCGGCUAACUCCGUGCCAGCAGCCGCGGUAAUACGGAGGAUCCGAGCGUUAUCCGGAUUUAUUGGGGUUAAAGGGAGCGUAGGUGGAUUGUUAAGUCAGUUGUUAAAGUUUGCGGCUCAAUCGUCAAAUUGAAGUUGAAACUGG